GACAGAGGUGCCAGGCGUUAGGCGGAAUCACUGGGCUUAAAGCGUGUGUAGGCGGAAUGGUAAGUACCUUGUGAAAUCCCACGGCUCAACCGUGGAACUGCUUGGUAUACUGCUUUUCUUGAGCCACUUAGGGGCAACCGGAACAAACGGUGGAGCGGUGAAAUGCGUAGAUAUCGUUUGGAACGCCAAUGGUGAAAACAGGUUGCUGGGAGUGUGCUGACGCUGAGACACGAAAGCCAGGGGAGCAAACGGG
rnacentral:rRNA from 1 species